UCAUUUUUAAUGGCUUGCAUGGCAUCGGCUGUGCCCCUGAGCUGUAAUGAAGCACUCUGCAAGUCCCCGCACGCGAGUCAGAAAUGAAUCUCACAGAGAGGAACAUGCUGGAACGCUAACAGGUUUUAAUCCCAGAAAGCGCAUUGAAAAGGACAGCUUGUCAUUGCUUAUUUGAACUCCCUUCAUCAUUUUGAAGACUGUAAUGAAAUGUCCAGUGUGUCUCCUUUCUCCAACUUAAAUAAAGUUCCACUAGCUGUCCCUCAAGGACCUAUUUCCCUUCAAUUUUUAAAUACUAUUAGCAAGAAGAGACCAGGUUAGGCUCACAUAUAGAUUCAAUUAAUCAAACCAAGAAGAAGGGGCCAAAAUUUGCAUCCUGCUUGGAAAUUUGGAUCUUCAUCUACCAAGUCUUUUAAACUGUGUGGUAGAUUUUUAGCUUAAGAAAUAAGUAAGAAACUGAAACCACCAGCAGACAAGAAUGAAUAUUCAAAAGAUGUAUUUUGAUUUCAUGAGUUGAAUGAAGAAAAACCAUCAUUUGUAUUGACUGAUUUUCUCUGGCAAGAAUACACAGAAGAAUUAGACAAAAAAGAUCUUCAAGACCCAGAUAAUCACAAUGGUGUGAUCACUCACCUAGAGCCAGACAUCUGGAAUGCAAAGUCAAGUGGACCUU